UACGGAGGAUGCGAGCGUUAUCCGGAUUUAUUGGGUUUAAAGGGUGCGUAGGCGGGAUGCCAAGUCAGCGGUAAAAAUGCGGUGCUCAACGCCGUCGAGCCGUUGAAACUGGCGUUCUUGAGUGGGCGAGAAGUAUGCGGAAUGCGUGGUGUAGCGGUGAGAUGCAUAGAUAUCACGCAGAACUCCGAUUGCGAAGGCAGCAUACCGGCGCCCUACUGACGCUGAGGCACGAAAGCGUGGGUAUCGAACAGG
rnacentral:rRNA from 1 species